rnacentral:rRNA from 1 species
CCUACGGGUGGCUGCAGUGGGGGAUAUUGCACAAUGGGGGGAACCCUGAUGCAGCGACGCCGCGUGGGUGAAGGAGCGUUUCGGCGCGUAAAGCCCUAUCGGCAGGGAAGAAGGAGGACGGUACCUGACUAAGAAGCCCCGGCUAACUACGUGCCAGCAGCCGCGGUAAUACGUAGGUGGCAAGCGUUGUCCGGAUUUACUGGGUGUAAGGGGCGUGUAGCCGGGUUGACAAGUCAGCGGUAAAAGCCCGGGGCUCAACCCCGGCGAGCCGUUGAAACUGGCUGUCUUGAGAUGUCGAGAGGUAUGCGGAAUGCGCAGUGUAGCGGUGAAAUGCUUAGAUAUUGCGCAGAACUCCGAUUGCGAAGGCAGCAUACCGGCGGCGAUCUGACGCUGAGGCACGAAAGCGUGGGUAUCGAACAGGAUUAGAUACCCCAGUAGUC